UUCACUGAUCUCUGUGUUGGGACUCCAUAUUGCUACUUUGCCAUCUUUAGAACCUGCCCCUUAUUGGUUCAAGACAAAAUUCAUAAAGAUCCAGUCUUGAAGUGAUACAGCCCAAAGACACUAUCAUUAUGAAUAACUUUUGGUUGUCUCAGAUCUGAACAAACAGUCCUUGUGGAAUACACAAUGCUUCAGCAUUUUGAUCUCUGACUAUGUUGAUAUUGUUAAAGUUUUACACUGACCAGCUUGUAAUGCUAAAAGAAAAAUUUAACAAGAUUUGUAACAAUAAUUUUUUAAAUAUCCAGAUUGGAAUAUUUCAAGCUGAAAUUUUGCUGUAAGUAUUAAAUGUACUUCUAAAUGUUUGGCUUAAAACAGAUGAAAUAAUUUCUUUAUUUCCCUUCUACUUUCAGAGACAUCCAUGAUGCCUGUUACUCUCUCCCUCGGCAUAAAUCUUACAUAAAUGUUGGUAACAUUUUACUGACACUUAAACCUUUCUGUAGGACUAAUAUGCAGUUAGCGGUUAAGCUUAUAACUCUUUUGUCUUCAAAUGUUUGAAAUUGAUAAAAUAUUGAGUGAUACAAUAUAGCCAGAUAC
rnacentral:sRNA from 1 species